GAUGAACGCUGGCGGCGUGCCUAAUACAUGCAAGUCGAGCGAACAGAUGAGGAGCUUGCUCCUCUGACGUUAGCGGCGGACGGGUGAGUAACACGUGGAUAACCUACCUAUAAGACUGGGAUAACUUCGGGAAACCGGAGCUAAUACCGGAUAAUAUAUUGAACCGCAUGGUUCAAUAGUGAAAGACGGUUUUGCUGUCACUUAUAGAUGGAUCCGCGCCGCAUUAGCUAGUUGGUAAGGUAACGGCUUACCAAGGCAACGAUGCGUAGCCGACCUGAGAGGGUGAUCGGCCACACUGGAACUGAGACACGGUCCAGACGCCUACGGGAGGCAGCAGUAGGGAAUCUUCCGCAAUGGGCGAAAGCCUGACGGAGCAACGCAGCGUGAGUGAUGAAGGUCUUCGGAUCGUAAAACUCUGUUAUUAGGGAAGAACAAAUGUGUAAGUAACUAUGCACGUCUUGACGGUACCUAAUCAGAAAGCCACGGCUAACUACGUG
rnacentral:rRNA from 1 species